AAGGUCCAACGACAGAAAGCAAGAGCUGAGUGUGUCAGAGUGCAUGCCUGUGAUUCUGACAUUUGGGAGGCAGAAGUAAGACCAAGGCUGGUAGAGCUACGUGAGAUACUGUCUCAGAAACAACAAAAGCAGACUGCAGACAAGGCAAGCAUGGCACUGCUACUCUGCUGUAGCACAGGGGCUAGCAGAUUAAAGAAAAUUUCUGAAACACUGAGAAGCUUGUAUUUUGAAGUAAUGCCACUCUACUGGAUUCUUCAUCGUACCUUGAAGUGAAAAGUGUAAGAACUGCCAAGUUCUAAGACACCAUUCAAGCUGUGCCAAGCUCGAGCAUAUUUCAAAGUCACCAGACCAUUUCAUCUUCUUAUUCCUGUCCCCAUGCUGCUGAACUGCUACUGAAAAGGAUACACCCACUGCUUUAUUAAGGGCUGGAUGUCUUUGCCAGAGACAUUGGAAAUGGACUUCAAAAACCCGUAAGUG